AGAGUUUGAUCAUGGCUCAGGAUAAACGCUAGCGGCGCACAUAAGACAUGCGAGUCGAACGAACUUAACCAUUAGUUUACUAUUGGAGCGGUUAGUGGCGGACUGGUGAGUAACACGUAAGCAACCUGCCUAUCAGAGGGGAACAACAGUUAGAAAUGACUGCUAAUACCGCAUAUGCCUUAGAAUCACAUGGUUCGAAAGGGAAAGGAGCAAUCCGCUGAUAGAUGGGCUUGCGU
rnacentral:rRNA from 1 species